rnacentral:rRNA from 1 species
UACAGGGGGGGCAAGCGUUGUUCGGAAUUACUGGGCGUAAAGGGCUCGUAGGCGGCCAACUAAGUCCGACGUGAAAUCCCCAAGGCUUAACCUUGGAACUGCGUCGGAUACUGGAUGGCUUGAAUUCGGGAGAGGGAUGCAGAAUUCCAGGUGUAGCGGUGAAAUGCGUAGAUAUCAGGAGGAACACCGGUGGCGAAGGCGGCCCUCUGGACGGUGACUGACGCUGGAGACGCGAAAGCGUGGGGAGCAAACAGG